AGCGUUCUUUGAAGUGCUCACACAGAUUGUCUGAUAGAAAGUGAAAAGCAAGGCGUCUUGCGAAGCAGACUGAUACGUCCCCUUCGUCUAGAGGCCCAGGACACCGCCCUUUCACGGCGGUAACAGGGGUUCGAAUCCCCUAGGGGACGCCACUUGCUGGUUUGUGAGUGAAAGUCACCUGCCUUAAUAUCUCAAAACUCAUCUUCGGGUGAUGUUUGAGAUAUUUGCUCUUUAAAAAUCUGGAUCAAGCUGAAAAUUGAAACACUGAACAACGANAGUACGGCCGCAAGGUUAAAACUCAAAUGAAUUGACGGGGGCCCGCACAAGCGGUGGAGCAUGUGGUUUAAUUCGAUGCAACGCGAAGAACCUUACCUGGUCUUGACAUCCACAGAACUUUCCAGAGAUGGAUUGGUGCCUUCGGGAACUGUGAGACAGGUGCUGCAUGGCUGUCGUCAGCUCGUGUUGUGAAAUGUUGGGUUAAGUCCCGCAACGAGCGCAACCCUUAUCCUUUGUUGCCAGCGGUCCGGCCGGGAACUCAAAGGAGACUGCCAGUGAUAAACUGGAGGAAGGUGGGGAUGACGUCAAGUCAUCAUGGCCCUUACGACCAGGGCUACACACGUGCUACAAUGGCGCAUACAAAGAGAAGCGACCUCGCGAGAGCAAGCGGACCUCAUAAAGUGCGUCGUAGUCCGGAUUGGAGUCUGCAACUCGACUCCAUGAAGUCGGAAUCGCUAGUAAUCGUGGAUCAGAAUGCCACGGUGAAUACGUUCCCGGGCCUUGUACACACCGCCCGUCACACCAUGGGAGUGGGUUGCAAAAGAAGUAGGUAGCUUAACCUUCGGGAGGGCGCUUACCACUUUGUGAUUCAUGACUGGGGUGAAGUCGUAACAAGGUAACCGUAGGGGAACCUGCGGUUG
rnacentral:rRNA from 1 species